CCUACGGGAGGCAGCAGUGAGGAAUAUUGCACAAUGGGCGCAAGCCUGAUGCAGCGACGCCGCGUGGGUGAAGAAGGUUUUCGGAUCGUAAAACCCUUUUCUGUGUGACGAGCAAGGACGGUAGCACAGGAAUAAGUCUCGGCUAACUACGUGCCAGCAGCCGCGGUAAAACGUAGGAGACAAACGUUAUCCGGAGUUACUGGGCGUAAAGGGCGUGUAGGUGGUUAAGUAAGUCUGGCGUGAAAUUUUUCGGCUUAACCGGGAAAGGUCGUCGGAUACUGCUAAACUAGAGGACGGUAGAGGCGUGUGGAAUUCCGGGUGUAGUGGUGAAAUGCGUAGAGAUCCGGAGGAACACCAGUGGCGAAGGCGACACGCUGGGCCGUACCUGACACUGAGGCGCGAUAGCAUGGGGAGCAAACAGGAUUAGAAACCCUGGUAGUCCAUGCCGUAAACGAUGCUAGCUGGGUGUUCAGGGUGGGAAACCACUCGGGGUACCGAAGUCAACACGGUAAGCUAGCCGCCUGGGGAGUACGGUCGCAAGAUUAAAACUUAAAUGAAUUGACGG
rnacentral:rRNA from 1 species